rnacentral:rRNA from 1 species
CAAGGUUAAAACUCAAAUGAAUUGACGGGGGCCGCACAAGCGGUGGAGCAUGUGGUUUAAUUCGAUGCAACGCGAAGAACCUUACCUACUCUUGACAUCCAGAGAACUUAGCAGAGAUGCUUUGGUGCCUUCGGGAACUCUGAGACAGGUGCUGCAUGGCUGUCGUCAGCUCGUGUUGUGAAAUGUUGGGUUAAGUCCCGCAACGAGCGCAACCCUUAUCCUUUGUUGCCAGCGGUNCGGCCGGGAACUCAAAGGAGACUGCCAGUGAUAAACUGGAGGAAGGUGGGGAUGACGUCAAGUCAUCAUGGCCCUUACGAGUAGGGCUACACACGUGCUACAAUGGCGUAUACAAAGAGAAGCGACCUCGCGAGAGCAAGCGGACCUCAUAAAGUACGUCGUAGUCCGGAUUGGAGUCUGCAACUCGACUCCAUGAAGUGGGAAUCG